rnacentral:rRNA from 1 species
UACGGAGGGUGCAAACGUUGCUCGGAAUUAUUGGGCGUAAAGAGCGUGUAGGCGGCCAUACAGGUCAGCUGUGAAAACUCGAGGCUCAACCUCGAGACGUCGGUUGAAACCGUAUGGCUAGAGUCCGGAAGAGGAGAGUGGAAUUCCCGGUGUAGCGGUGAAAUGCGUUGAGAUCGGAAGGAACGCCCGUGGCGAAAGCGAGGUCCUGGACGUCUACUGACGCUGAGACGCGAAAGCUAGGGGAGCAAACGGGG